UUUCUGGGGGGGGGUGAAAAUGAAGACCCUCACUUGUAAUGCUUCUGGAUGCUUGCUCCUUUUAGGUUUGCUUAAGGCUUAAGAACAAACACUCGAGUGUGCUUUGUAUGAUGCUGGAGGCUUCUUUGGAGCUCAAUUUCCAAAUACAGAAUGCAGCACAGGGAGUUGGAAGAGGCCUGGGCACUGAGGGACACUCCUGACCUUCCAGCAAAGCAUCUCCAUUGGGAGUGGAAGGCAAGACACAGCCACACAGAGUUUGUGGCCUUGGGGAAAAACACAAGUCCAUCAUCCCUAUAACUGAAACCUAUGUGUUCCCAUUUUAGUCUCCUACCUUAAAAUCGGGGAAAACUGUUUCCAGUGCAAAUACUUGACCAUGAGCAAGGAUAACAUAGCAAAACAGGAAGAAGCAAGCCUUUGGUGCUGGAAGAAAAAACUGGGGAAGGGGUAGAUCAACCCACAAGCAGCCCCUUCUAGAGCUACCUGCUCUGCUCUUCCCUUUGGAUUCACUUUUGGUGUUUUCUGAGACCCCAGCAAAGGGGCCUUUCUCCUCAAAUGACUACUUCAGAAUUCUAUCAUUGCUUAUGUCCUAUCCCUUCCAGAAAGCCAGCAUCAGAGCCACCCAGUCUGACAACCCAUUUGGCAUGGAAGUGUUAAUGACUGACAGCUACCAGCCAGCUCAGCUCAACUCAAAUCAGGCUUGUCUGGACUGAUAAGCAACUGGCAUGGGGGUUAAUGGCUGAUGAGCUACUAGGCUGUACAGGUCAACUUCGUUUGUUAGAACAUACCCAGAAAGAAUAACUUCCAAAGUGGAGAUCCUAGGGAGGGGCCAGAUGGAGACUGAAGGCAUCGGAGAAGAAAGACUUUUGAAGCAGGUGUCGAAACAGACCACACAGAGGCAUGAUCAAACCUCUGCCUGUCUUUCUGAAUAUUUUGGCUAAUUGAGACGUUGCUGUCCUAUACACACACAUCCACAUGUGCACAAGUGCACAUGCCCUUGUGGCCUAAGCACUUCUAUCCCUUGGUCAUCCAUGCUCUAACACCUGGAAAGCUUUCAGGUAAAUAACAUGCCCCUAAAGUGGACACUUGCCCACAUCAGGAUAGAUGCCACUCUUGCCCGGAGUUGGCAAGUGUACCAUACUGGCCACACUUUGGGUGUGGCCAUCCUUUGAUUCAUCAGACAGGUCCUCACAAGCUUUCUGGGAAGCAUUCUUGCUCUAUGCACAGAUCCCAACUUUACAGUGACUUCCCCCAACCCUCAGAGCAGCCUCUCCCCUGUGAAAAAGAUAGUCACAAGCAGCUAAGCCAAUGGGUAGAAUGAAGGCUUUGAGGACCAAAGGGGUAGAUAAGGAAUGUUCAGAGGUGAAUGUGUUUGUUACAACCCCGAGUCAGAGGAAAUGACCAACCGAAUUACCAAAAGAUGCAUUGAAAGAAUCAAGAGAAUUGUUUAAACAGCAAGAACAAAAAGAAGGAAAAUAAGAUUUCCAACAGACAAAGCAAUGGUGUGGUGUGAAUAGAAAAACCGAGACAAACAGCUUGGAAAGGAGGGGAGGAGCAGAGUAGAUCCUGGGGUGCCAUAAACCAAAGGCUCCAGGGAACCUCAGUGCUGAGGAAGAGAAAGCUGGAGAGGUGUCUGCAGUGUGCAACCAAACAACCAAACAACCCCUCCCCCCCAAAAAAAAAUCCAUGGUGAUUUCAGCAAGAAGAAGCUAGUCGGGCUGGGCAUGUGGCUUAGUAGAGUGUGGUGGGUGCUUACUUGCCUAGUGUGCUCAAAGCCUGGGUCUGAUAUACAGUACAGCAUCAACUGAGUCUAGUGACACACACUUGUAAUUCCAGGGACAGGAGGAUCAGCCGUGGUUCAGGGUCAUCCUCUAAUACAUAAAGAGUUCAAGAAAAGCCCAAGAUACAAGAGAGCCUAUCUCAGAAAGAAAAGGAAGAUCUAAGCAUGGAAUCUGGUCCUGUGUCCUCCAGUGGGUGUGUGUGUGUGUGUGUCCUUCUUCUUCUUCUUCUUCUUCUUCUUCUUUUUUUUUUUGGGGUUUUUAGACAGGGUUUCUCUGUAGCCCUGGCUGUCCUGGAACUCACUCUGUAGACCAGGCUGGCCUCGAACUCAGAAAUCCGCCUGCCUCUGCCUCCCAAGUGCUAGGAUUAAAGACAUGCACCACCACGCCCAGCCUGUGUGUGUCCUUCUUAAAAGGAUAUCAUAAGGGAUAAACUAAUGGCUUCAUCUUGACUUGACCUUUCCAAAGUCCCCA
rnacentral:lncRNA from 1 species